rnacentral:rRNA from 1 species
CUCCUAUAUGUUCUGGGCUGCACGCGCACUACACUGACUCAGCCAACGAGCCUCUGACUUCGGUCAGCCUGCUUCGAGGGAAUGCGGGGAAUCUUUUGAGACUGAGUCGUGAUGGGGAUUGCCAAAACCCAAAACUGUAAUUACUUGUCAUGAACGAGGAAUACCUUGUACGCCUAUCUCAUCAGGAUAGACGGAAUACGUCCCUGGUUCUUGUACACACCGCCCGUCGUUGCCUGCGACGUUUUGAUCGUAGAGCUCUUUGGAGGUUGCCUCGGUCUCCGGGGUCAGCUGAAGCUGAGCAAUACUAUCAAAGUGGAGGAGGCAAAAGUCGUAACA